GUAGCCGUAGGGGAACCUGCGGCUGGAUCACCUCC
rnacentral:rRNA from 14 species